CCCCGCCUCAGGUUAAGGCAGGCUAAGCUGAGGGAAAGGAGGAGAGUGUGAGGCGACGGUGGGUUGGCCGGCGGAGUCCGGAGACGGCGGGGCUGAAAGGAGCCUGGUAGCUGUGGGAUGGCCGGCGUGGCACGGCUGGCGCAGAGGGAGCGAGCCGGAAGUCGCCUCGCUGCGCCUCCCCGGCGCCCCUGAAGGAGAGGCGAUGCGCUGACCAGAAAGAGGCAUGACCUUGCAGUGAAGAGGCAGCUUUCGUAGAGAGAUGGCAGCAACCGAAGGCCAGGAAUCUAACCUGCGAAAGGCAGCACCAUUUACGCAUUUCCAGCUUCCAUGGAUAAGCAUUAGGACUUUCUAUGGUGCUGUGCCUCAAGCCAGAGAGUGAGUGCAGUGCAGAAAGGAACUUGCGAAGCAGGUUGGGCCACACCAGCCUUCCCUAAUGCGAUGCCCUCUAGAUGUUUUGAACCACAACAGCCAUGCUAGCCGGGGCUGAAAGCAGUUGCAGCCAAAACAUUAGGUGACACCAGAUUGGGUAAGGCUAGCCUACACAAACAAGCCUACACACACACAUGAGCGAAUGAAAAAAACCCCUACUUGAUUUCCUAUAUGUAUGAUCAUGAGAGAACAAUCCCAUCAUAAACAGCUGUAAUCUACCCAAGUGCAACUGAAAUGACUGCAAAGUUCAAUACUAGUAGGGCCUGCUGCCACUAACCCCUCCUCCCUUUGCAUUUGGCCAACCCCCUCACCUAUCCCCUCAAACUCACCCAAACUGCCCCUCCAACUCCUAGCUCUCCCCAUGUCCCUCACAGCUUGUCCCAAGCCCCACCACCUUUUAAGGGAAGGGAGAAGCACUUCAGAGAGUGGUUUAUUGAUGUGCCCCUCUUUCAUUAAACAGCUCAUGUGGCCCAUGUACCAUCCACACUGUUCACUUGGCUACCUGCUGUCAUGUUAGAGUUGGGAUGGCCACCUAUUGGUGGUGGUACAAACUGCAGCAUGAUGACAGCCUUGCAUUUUUAUGUAAAUAGGAAGAAAAUAAAACUACUGGUUGUGUUUGAAACACUGGUGAAUGGAGGUAAAGUUUUAAGAAGAGAAGGUGACGGUGUAAAGUUGGUCAGUCUUACUGGCUUUAGCAGUAAUUUGGGGGACAACUUUUUGGGAAUGAAAUAUUGGGAUGGGCCACAAGUUCUAGUAUUAUGAGAGUAGAAAAAUGUCCAUAUGCUUUAUAAUUUUACAAAGCUCUAUUUGUUCCACUACCACUUUAGUGUUUUUUUUACACAUAUUUAUUUCUUAAAAGUUAUACAGAAGCCAGAAUUUAACAUGGGGUUUUUAGUACAGAAACCAGAAAGAGGUCCAGCCAUAUUUCCCCAAAGAAGCCGUUAUGCCCAGCAAGCAUUUUUGCUGUAGCCUGCGGCAGAAGGAGGAAACAAACAAGUACUAGUUUUUCAGCUUCUCUGAGCAUUUUGCUAGCUAGUCAGCAGUGAACAUCCGGCAACUGAAAGCAGUGGGAGCUGUUCUCUUUACAAACAUCUGUUCAAGUACUUUAACACUGAUGUUUUAUUAGAAUUUCUCUGUCUUCUGAACCUGGAGAGGAAGAAUUGCUGUGUGGAAUGAAGUUGAAGGGGAGCAGAGCAAUAUCCUUGCUUUGACAGUAAUUCCCAAACUCUGGGCUGGGGGGACACUAGUGGGGAAAAGACUGUGCUGUCUGAAAAAUAAUAUAUUAUUCGCCUCUAUUGUACUGCACUUGUAGCAAUAAAGUCCUUAGCUGAGCUGGUGUGAUGUGGACAUUAAUAGCAUGAAUGCUGUGAACUUGCCCAUUUAAGGUUAUGUAAAUAGGGAAGCUGCAGCCGCCUUUGAACCAUAGGCGUGGGAUAGGUUUUCUCUUUCUGCCAAUUCUCUAUUAGUGCCAAUGCAGGCUUCCCUGCAAAAGUGAGAUGUGGCUUCAGAGAGAGUAUUUAUAACACCAGCAGCAACGAAAGUGCAUGUUAACUGCAGCUAAUGUUGCACCUACUUUGGCCCUCAGACCCACUCAGUUCUUAAGGAAAAUUACAAAGCAGUUUUCGGGAUGGUAAACAUCUCACAUGGGAUAGUUAAAGACUGGGGUGAUGUCCAAAGAGGUAAAGAAGCCUAAGGGACAGAGUGUAGAAGCAGGAGGCAGAAGGGGGAGGGCGAUGCAGAGCAGGCAAUGGACUUGAGCAAGAAGAACCUAAAGGAAUAGUAUGUGAACAGUGCUGAUUUGAGGGGAAAGAACUGAGCUCAUAUUCCCCCCUAUAAUUUUCUAUUACACUGCCUUAUGCUGAGCCAGUCUAUGGGUUCCAUCUAGGUCAGUAUUGCCUAUUCCAGGGUUUCUCAAACGUGGGUCUCCAGCUGUUCUUUUGGACUACAAUUCCCAUCAUCUCUGGCCACUGGUCCUGCUAGCUCGGGGUGAUGGGAGUUGUAGUCCAAAAACAGCUGGAGACCGACGCUUGAGAAACCCUGGCCUAUAUUGAGUGCCAGCAGCCCAGGUUUCCAGAGGCAAUCUCUUCCACUACGCUGUCCAGCGGAGCUUUUUUUUGGAAAGCAUGGAGCCUAUUAUACUCUUGCCCAAAGGAGGUGGUAGAACCAAUGAUAGCUUGCUGUGACUUUGUUUGCAAAGCAUUUAGGUGCUAAAAUCACUUGCAUCUGUCAGAACCUUCACUCCGUUGUUACUGCAGAUGAGUCUCAAGAGGUGUUCUCAAAGCUUCUCAUUUUGGGAGAAAAACAACCAUCAAGACCUCCCCCCCCCCCAAGCUAAUGCUAAUCUAGGCGGCAUCAUCAGAAAUAUAGUGUCCAGAUCAAGGGAAGUCAUACCGGUAGUACCAUUCUAUUCUGCCUUGGUCAGGCCACACCAGGAAUACUGUGUCCAAUUCCAGGCACCACAAUUUAAGAAGGAUGUUGGCAAGCUGAAACUUGUGCAGAGGAGGGCAACCAAGAUAAUCAGUGAUCUGGAAACUAAGCCUUACCGAGGAGUGCUUAGUUGAAGGAGCUGGGUAGGUUUAGCCUGGAAAAAGGGAGACUAAGAGGAGAUAUGAGAGCCAUCUUUAAAUAUCUCAAGGGCUGUCACAUGGAAGAGGGAACAACCUUGAGUUCUCCUGCUCUGGAGGGUAGGACUUGAACCAAUGGCUUCAAGUUACAAGAAAGGAGAUUCCAAUUCAACAUCAGGAAAAAACUUUCUGAUGGUAAGAGCUGCUCGACAGUGGAAUGGUCUCUUUCGGGAGGUUGUGGGCUCUCUUUCCUUGGAGGUUCUUAAGCAGAGGUUGGAUGGCUGUUUUUCAUGGAUGCUUUCGCUGAGAUUCCUGCGUUGCAGGGGGUUGGACUACAUGACCCUUGGGUCCUAAUUAUACAAUUCCAUGAUUCUAUGAUCAGAGUGGAAUGGAUUCUUUCAAUCUGAAAUGAGGCUUUGGCGAAAACAGUAUAUGCUUCCUUUUUAAAGACUUAGACUCCCUGGCACCUGACCACGCACCUUCAAAUCCAGACAGGUUUGCCUUAGCCUUUAAUCUUCUGAGUCAAAUAACGCACGCUGUCUCUUCAUACUACCCUGGGCUAUAAUCAUAUUCCGGUGUUUUUAAAAGUCAGAAUCAGUCAGGAUCAUAUUGAGACUGUUCCAGAAAAGCAUAAACUAGGCCAGACAGUUGCUCAUAAUAUCUAAGGAGUGUGUUUAGUUCAGGAGCUUUGUGCAUUUGGGCACAACAGUGGAAGUUUAGGAUCAGUUUUCGUUCUCCAAGAUGGGCUGCCUUCCCAGGUUGAUGAGCCCUAUCUGCCCCUCAUUUAAAUACAAAUCCACCACUAAUACAACAUUACUGCACCAAUACCAUGUUGCAAAAUGCAGCUGCGCAAAAAAUACUAGUCUGGAAGGGCCCACAGAAAAAAAAAAGCCACAGAUAGAAUGGAAUAAAAUAGGAUAUUAGAGCAGUUAUGCUGGAAAAGAAGAGUUGUCUGGAGAAGGAAAUUUAAUAGUGGCCAGUGGGGAGUAUUUUUGCUGCCUUGAAUAAAAGAAGAAGAAAGGAGUCAAAGAGAACUCCACGGUUUUGCAUUGGGAGAGAACCAAGAAUAGAAGUAUUACCCAGCGUGAGAGAAUUUAGUGCAGAAGGAGAACAAACAAACCAUUUUGGAUACGGUAAGCUUAAGUAUAAGGGGAAGAGAGUAUAGAGACCCCCCCUCAUCAGAAGCAGUUCCUCCCCAAGCAGCAAUGGCAGCGAGGACGCUGAGGAAAGCAGUCAGGAAGUGGGGAGAGAGGGCCAGGGCUCUGGCAGCACGGGAGAGCCCCUGCAACACAGGAGGAAGGAAGAGAGAGGGGGGAAGGGGGGGGAGAAGGAAAACAUAGAGCGUAGACCCUUUCCUCCGGUUCCGGAAUUACGCAGGAGAAGGAGGGGAAGGAGGUUUGCUGUCCCAAGACUAUUAUGUUGGAGGAAGUCAAGGGGCGGUUCAGUGCCGGAUUCUGCAUCGGACUGAGCAGACAUGUUGUACAUACCCAGCUCACUGUAAAUAGCCUGCACUAAUAAAAAGCUGUUUAAAGACAAGCAUGCGGAGUGUCGUUACUCUAGAGUAGUCGCAAGAACCUCUGGCAUUAAGAUAAGUGGGAAACUUACAGCAAGCAAGAGCUACAAGACAACCAUCUUUAUAUGAGAGGGGAAGAUGAAAGUUAUAUCAGAAGAAGAAAAGCUGAGCUGCAGGUCAUCGGCAUAAAAGGGAUAGUAACCGUUAAAAGAACAAAUGAUUGUGUUUUACUUUUAACUGCUUGACACGUUGUAAGAUGGCUUGGUUGCAUCUAACAUCCUUGGCAGCUGCGCUUGCCAGUUACUGCCUGCUUGUCAGUGAAGUCAGAUUUGGCAAUCUGCGUGUUGUCUGCUGCGAAAAUAAAAUAUCACUUUGUCACCCGACAGAACGAAGGGGUUACUUUGGAGCAGGGAGGAGUGGCAUCCUUAUCACCCUUGCUGUGACAACACGGAGGGGGCAAGCUCAUUAAUCAUGCGGCGCCAUCGUUUUUAAAAAUACCACAAGGAGGCAUGGUGCAUUCAUCAAAGGUGCAUGAUUUUACACACACACACACACCACCCUUCAUCAGACGAGAUGUCGAGGUGGUAGACAAGCUUAAAAAUGAAGCAUAUAGUGGUACACAAAAUAAAAGCAACAGGUAAAAGUCUUCAAGCUGGCUAAUUAAAUAAAAAUGCCUGGCACCAGUGUUUUUGCCAAGCAAAAUCCCUUUGCAGGGGCAUUCCAUAGCUAGCAUGCCUCUGCUUAGCUAAUGUCCAUCUCAAUGCAGAUGGAAGAGACUUAUCAUGGAAUUGUAGAGCCGGAAGGGACCCCGAGGAUCAUGUAACCCAAACUCCCUGCAGUGCAAGAAUACGCAGCUGCCCCAUAUGGGAAUCGAAUCUGCGAUUUUGGUAUUAUCAGCACCAUGCUCUCUAACCAACUGAGCUAUGGGAGGUCCUAGAGACCUGGGUAGGGGCUUGUGGAGACCUUAAAGCAGGUGUGGGGAAUGCUUUUCAGUCUGAGGGCCACAUUUCAUUCCGGGCAGCUUUCCAGGGGCCACAUGCUGUGUGCGCACAGCAGGGCCAGAGGCAGAAGGGAGCAGAGCGGUGAAUGUGAAUUUUACCUUUUGUACAGUAUGCUUCUUUCCACACACUCACCCCCAACGCCCCACCUGCCAUCAAGGCAAAGGAGGCAUUGCCAGAUCUCAAGGACACAUUGCAGCUGAGCAAAAAGAACCAAAGAAGGAUGCAAAGCAGGACCCCUGCUGACGGAAAGGCUUGCAGGGUUGCAUUGUGGACCCUCCUCCCUUGCAGGUUUUUAAGCAGAGGUUGGGUGGCCAUCUGUCAUGGAUGCUUUAGCUGAGAUUCCUGCAUUGCAAGGGGUUGGACUACAUGACCCUUGGGGUCCCUUCUAACUCUUCAAUUCUGCGAUUUGGCCCCUUGGUCUCAGGUUGCCCACUCUUGCCUUAAAAGUACAAGCAGGUUGAAGUGGGAGCAGGGGCUUGAGCCCCAAGCUGUUUUAGGUCCCUUAAAUUAUUAUUAUUAUUAUUAUUAUUAUUAUUAUUAUUAUUAUUAUUUUAUUUAUACCCUGCCCAUCUGGCUGGGUUUCCCCAGCCACUCUGGGCAGCUUCCAACAGAAACAUACAAUACAAUAAUGGAUUAAACAUUAAAAGCCUCCCUAAACAGGGCUGCCUUCAGAUGUCUUCUAAAAGUCUGGUACAGUAGUUGUUUUUCUCUUUGACAUUUGAUGGGAGGGCAUUCCACAGGGCAGGCGCCACCACCGAGAAGGCCCUCUGCCUAGUUCCCUGCAACUUGGCUUCUCGCAACGAGGGAACCACCAGAAGGCCCUCGGUACUGGACCUCGGUUUCUGGGGGUGGAGACGCUCCUUCAGGUAUACUGGACCGAGGCCGUUUAAGGGCUUUAAAGGUCAGCACCAACACUUUGAACUGUGCUCGGAAACGUACUGGGAGCCAAUGUAGAUCUUUCUUAGGACCAGAAGUUAACAGGUAUCCAGUGAAGGCUUUCUGUUUGUUUGUUUAUUUUAGAGCUGGUGUAAAACGAGUCGUGCCAGUUGGAGUUGUAGCAGCUGUGUUUUGUGCUAAUUGAGGCUUCUGAGCUGUAUUCAGCGGCAGCUGCUGUGUAACACAUUGCAUUAAACUAACCGAGAUCACUGUGGCUGGAAAGCGGAUGAAGUAAAGUUUGUCUCCUAACUUGGGGUCAUCAAAUGGAGCCUAAUAUUGAAAAAUUCUGGACAGACAAAAGGGCAUCGUUGAACUAUGGAGUUUCCUCUUACAAGCCGUUGAGAUAGCUCUGUCCUCCAAAAAUUGAUCUAACCCUCUUCUUAAAAUAUCCAGGUUGAUAGCUGUCAGUAUAACACAAUAUGGCUAUUUUCUAUUCUCCACUGUUGGAGGCAAUAUUAUUCUAUGUACCAACUGACGAGAUGGUUGGACAGUGUUCUCGAAGCUACAAACAUGAGUUUGACCAAACUGCGGGAGGCAGUGCAAGACAGGAGUGCCUGGCGUGCUAUGGUCCAUGGGGUCACGAAGAGUUGGACACGACUAAACGACUAAACAACAACCAACUGAUGGUGCUUGCAGGCUCCCCAUGGGCAUCUGGUUGGCCACUGGGAGAACACGAUGCUGGACUAGACGAAUCUUUGGCCUGAUCUAGCACGGCCCAUGUUGUUACAAGAGGAAGGGGAAGUUCUCCGGCACUCAGGGAAGAAGCUAUUCCCCACAUGCAUUGAUACAGCUCAUGAUUUUCAUGCAGAAGGUCCCUGGCUCCUCUCCAGGUAUGGUGGGAAAUGUUGUUCAUCUGAAACUGAGACAAACCACUGCCAGUUAGUUUCUGUAAUAGCGAGAUACAUGGACCAAUUUUCCAUUUGGAAAAUUCCAGCUCCUCUUCUCAGAUUACUGUUAAAGUGAACCACCACGAGAUCUAUGGAUGAAGGGUGGUAUACAAAUUUAAUAAAUGAACAAAAAGGCCCUAGCCACAAUGCCGGAUUUCCAUAUAAGCUAAACAAGCUAUAUCUUAGGGCCCCACUCUCUUGGGGGCCCACAAAAAAUUUAAAGGGAAAAAACCUGGAUGUACAUUUCCAAAAUAUAAGAUGAUAAGCAAAUAAAAUAAAUCUACAUACAGCAACAGUGUUUUGUGUUGUGUAGGCUCCUAUUUGUUAUGUGCAAAUGGCUUUUGAUACCUAUUAGGGCCAUAAAUUACCAUAUGGCAUAUAUUCAACACAAAAAACAGUGACAAUUUGUUGUUGACAAAGGACAGCUGGACAUAUAAAGGGCCCCUUUACCUUCAGUAGCUAAACCUAAAUCUGGCCCUGCCUAGCCAUUGUUGCGGGGCAGCUUCAGGCAUUACAGCACCCGAAUAACAAUAACAAUAAAACAACAACAAUAUUUGUACCCCCACCAAUCUGAUUGGGUUGCCCCAGCCCCUCUGGGCAGCCUCCAGCAUACACGAAAACAUAAUAAAGCAUUAAACAUUUAAAACUUCCCUAUACAACGCUGCCUUCGGGUGUCUUCUAAAGGUUGUAUCUCCUUGAGAUCCAAUGGGAGGGCAUUACACUGGGUGGAUGCCACUACCAAGAAGGCCCUCUGCCUCAUUUCCUGUAACUUCACUUCUCGCAGUGAGGGAAUCGCCAAAAGGCCCUCGGACUCAGUGUCUGGCCUGGAUGAUGGGGGUGGAGGUAUACAGGGCCGAGGCCACUUAGGGCUUUAAAGGUCAGCACCAACACUUUGAAUUGUGCUCAGAACUGUACUAGUGGGAGCCAACGUAGCUCUUUCAGGACCGGUGUUAUAGGGUCCCAGCCACUCCCAUGAUGGGGGUGCAAACUAGAAUCACAGGAUCAUAGAAUUUCCAGAUCCCACCCUUCCACCCUGCAGUGUGGGGCUUUGCACCAGCUCUUCCCUUGAGGAGAAGCUGGUGCAAAGCUCUGUUACACCACUGGGGGAGGGGAGAUCUGCCCCCCCCCCAGAGGCAAAGCCGGGUGGCAGAACACCUCACCUCUUCCCAACUUGGCAGGAGGGGAGGUUUUCCGCAGAGCUUUGCGUGACAGCGGGCUAUUCCACCAAGGGUGAUGUUUCAUGCCCUCCUGUAUCUGCCUAAAUUAAAGCCUUUUCUUUUUCCCAAGAGAACAAGAAAAGUGAUGUUACCGUAUGUCAGGGAUCAAGCACAGCCAUUGCAACUUCAGUAUGGAAAUGCCUCACAAGUCUGCCACCAGAUGGCAAUCUCUGCCUGUGGUUGCACUGAGGUAAUAAUAGCUAAGGUCUUCAAAGAGUGUGAAUAAAUUCUGAAUGAAACAGACAGGGGUGGGAAAAGUUGGCUCUUAGGACUCUCCCCCUCGACAGCCAGACCCUUACCAGCCCUGCUUCACACCCUCUUUGAGAGGGUUUCGUUUUCAUUCUUAUCUGACUGGAAUGAGUCCUUGCACUUCACAGAUUUCAAGGGGGCCGGGGAGGGGGGGGGACAUGACUGGCCAGUGAGAGAUUCCCCGCCUAGGAUUUUAUUCUUUUUAUUUAUGCCAAGUUUCAAGGAAUGAGAUUAAUUCACUUUUAUUUAUUAUCCCCUGCUUAUUUGGUUAUUAUUAUCUUUCUCCUUGUCCUGACCAUCCUCCCGAGGUUAUAUUCACAAUCUUUCAAUUUGGCUGGACUCUACACUUAACCGGCCCGGAACAUUCCACCAGAGAGAAGGUCGCCACCCAUGGGACAGAGGGAUAUCGACUGAAUGACAACCCAGCUUUUACCUUGGGUUUUAAUAGGUUUUAUUGGUAACCAUAUUUGUAAUGUAUUUUUUGUUGGUGUUUGUCUUUUUGAUGCUAUGGCCCGCCGGCUAUGCAAAUAAAGUUGAAGCUUUAGUCCUUGCACUCCAAUAAUGCUUCUUGGAUGAAGAAUAGAGAGGGGUGCACGAGUGCCUAUAGAAAUGGGAUAUGCUACCCCUAAGAAUCUUGCUCUCAAGGGUCGCAGCAAUGGUUUUGUGUUCACUCACUUUUCAUAGCAGCCAGAAAUGGCUGCACCCCUUUAUCUCAUUCCUUGCAAAUAUUCUGCCUCUCAGGGCCAGGCACAGCAAACUGUGGUUGAUUGCAAAAAGCAAAACCAAACCCCAAACCCUCCAAAACUAACUCUAUUACCCAUAUAUUGUCUCACUCUAGGUGGGAACAAAGCUGGUGCAUUAAUGCUAUAUGUAUUGGUAGCUGGAAAUUGCUACAGUUUAGGGGUUGCCAACAAGGAGCUUGCAGGUGCACUUGGCUGUGGGCUGGUGCCCAUUACAGUUUCUCCAAUUUGUAUAUGUGCCCAGUGGCCCAGAAAGGUUGGUGACCCUUAGGAGCUCAUACUUGGGGUAGAAAAUAUUAUUUAUUUAUUUAUACCCCGCCCAUCUGGCUGGGUUUCCCCCACCACUCUGGGCGGCUUCCAACAAAGAUAAAAAUACAUUAAAAUAUCACAGAUUAAAAACUUCCCUAAACAGGGCUGGCUUUAGGUGUUUUCUAAAUAUCAGGUAGUUGUUUAUCUCCUUGACCUCAGAUGGGAGGGCGUUCCACAGGGCGGGCGCCACUACCGAAAAGGCCCUCUGCCUGGUUCCCUGUAGCUUUGCUUCUCGCAGUGAGGGAACCGCCAGAAGGCCCUCGGCGUUGGAUCUCAGUGUCCGGGCUAAAUGAUGGGGGUGGAGACGCUCCUUCAGGUAUA